CUGGCUCAGAUUGAACGCUGGCGGCAGGCUUAACACAUGCAAGUCGAGCGGUAACAGAGAUAGCUUGCUAUCUGCUGACGAGCGGCGGACGGGUGAGUAAUGCUUGGGAAUAUGCCAUAUGGUGGGGGACAACAGUUGGAAACGACUGCUAAUACCGCAUAACGUCUACGGACCAAAGAGGGGGAUUCUUCGGAACCUCUUGCCAUUUGAUUAGCCCAAGUGAGAUUAGCUAGUUGGUGAGGUAAUGGCUCACCAAGGCGACGAUCUCUAGCUGGUUUGAGAGGAUGAUCAGCCACACUGGGACUGAGACACGGCCCAGACUCCUACGGGAGGCAGCAGUGGGGAAUAUUGCACAAUGGGCGAAAGCCUGAUGCAGCCAUGCCGCGUGUGUGAAGAAGGCCUUCGGGUUGUAAAGCACUUUCAGUUGUGAGGAAAGGUGAGUAGUUAAUAGCUGCUCACUAUGACGUUAGCAACAGAAUGAAG
rnacentral:rRNA from 1 species